UACGGAAGGGGCAAGCGUUGUUCGGAAUCAUUGGGCGUAAAGGGCGCGUAGGUGGUUCUGUAUGUCUACCGUGAAAGCGUACGGCUCAACCGUAUUUUGUCGGUAGAAACUGCAGGACUUGAGGCUGGGAGGGGCUGGUGGAAUUCCCUGUGUAGCGGUGAAAUGCGUAGAGAUGGGGGAGAACACUCGUGGCGAAGGCGGCCAGCUAGACCAGUUCUGACACUGAGGCGCGACAGCGUGGGGGAGCAAACAGG
rnacentral:rRNA from 1 species